AUUCCAGGAAGCAGCUCACCUGUGUAUCAGUGGAGAUUCUUUUUCUCUGAAAAUACUGUGAAGGUAGAAAGUGUGUGUGAGCUGAUGUAAAUCCAGCGUCAUGGAUCACGACAGAGAGGAUGAAGCCCCUCCCUCUAAAAGGAACCAGCCUGGAACUGAACCUGCAGUUAGACCAGGACCUGGACCAAGCUGUGUCUGGUCGAUGGAUAAACCUCCUGAUUUCAGAUCAGACCUGCAAGUGGACCAGCAGAGCUCAGAGCUUCCCAGUGGUCAGUCUGCCCAGCAGCAUCAAACACAGCUGGACUCC